CAAAAUGUAGCUUAAUUAAAGUAUUUCGCUUACACCGAAAAUAUAUCUGUAAAAAUCGGAUCAUUUUGA
rnacentral:tRNA from 1 species